rnacentral:rRNA from 1 species
AGUGAAGCGGGAUGAGCUCAAAUUUAAAAUCUGGCUGGUUUACUAGUCCGAAUUGUAGUUUAUAGAAGCGUUUUCGGUGGCAGCCUGGGUAUAAAUCCUUUGGAAUAGGGUAUCAUAGAGGGUGAGAAUCCCGUCUUUGACUCAGUGCAUGCUACUAUGUGAUACGUUUUCAAAGAGUCGAGUUGUUUGGGAAUGCAGCUCAAAAUGGGUGGUAAAUUUCAUCUAAAGCUAAAUAUUGGCGAGAGACCGAUAGCGAACAAGUACCGUGAGGGAAAGAUGAAAAGAACUUUGAAAAGAGAGUUAAACAGUGCGUGAAAUUGUUGAAAGGGAAACGCUUGACACCAGUCAUGCGAGUGGAAAAUCAGUCUUUUGCAGUGGGGAGUUGUGGGCGUUCAGACCGCAAGGCUGGCGUUUGCUUCAUCUUUGUUGUAAGUGAUGCACUUUUUCAUUUGCAGGUCAACAUCAGUUUGCUUUGCUGGACAAAACCCCAAGGGAAGGUGGCAGCUUAGGCUGUGUUAUAGCCCUGGGGCGAUACAGUGGAGUGGACUGAGGUUUUCGCAGUGUGUGCUCUCUGGGCAAGGCUGACUGGGUGCUAUGGGAUCGUUCGGCGUACAAUGCAUGCAUUUUGCGCCGUGUCUUUUUCAUACUCGCUCAACUCGGCUCUUCCACACUUAGGAUGUUGACUUAAUGGUUUUAAUCGACC